UGCCAGGAACCAUGCGAGGAGCCGCCGCCCAACCCCGCCAGGUCCGGAAGGAAGCAGCGGUAAGCGGCCGGUUCCGGCGCCGUGGCCCUCCUGGCGGGG
rnacentral:SRP_RNA from 1 species